GAAUCAACGCUGGCGGCGCGCCUAACACAUGCAAGUCGAACGAGAAAGGCGGGGUAACUCGCUGAGUACAGUGGCGCACGGGUGAGUAACACGUGGGUUAUCCGCCCUCUGGUGGGGAAUAACCCUGGGAAACCGGGGCUAAUACCGCAUGAGCCCGCGAGGGCAAAGUCGAAAGACGCCGGAGGAGGAGCUCGCGGCCGAUUAUGCUAGUUGGCGGGGUAACGGCCCACCAAGGCGAAGAUCGGUAGCCGGCCUGAGAGGGCACACGGCCACACUGGCACUGAGACACGGGCCAGACUCCUACGGGAGGCAGCAGUGGGGAAUCUUGCACAAUGGGGGAAACCCUGAUGCAGCGACGCCGCGUGAGCGAUGAAGCCCUUCGGGGUGUAAAGCUCUUUCGGCAGGAACGAUUAUGACGGUACCUGCAAAAGAAGCUGCGGCUAACUACGUGCCAGCAGCCGCGGUAAUACGUAGGCAGCAAGCGUUGUUCGGAGUUACUGGGCGUAAAGGGUGUGUAGGCGGUCCGCUGAGUUUGGUGUGAAAUCUCCCGGCUUAACUGGGAGGGUGCGCCGAAUACUGGCGGGCUAGAGUGCGGGAGAGGGAAGCGGAAUUCCUGGUGUAGCGGUAAAAUGCGUAGAAAUCAGGAGGAACAUCGGUGGUGUAGACGGCUUCCUGGACCGCAACUGACGCUGAGACACGAAAGCGUGGGUAGCAAACAGGAUUAGAUACCCUGGUAGUCCACGCCCUAAACGAUGCGGACUUGGUGUGGGCACUUUCACUGUGUCCGUGCCGGAGCUAACGCGUUAAGUCCGCCGCCUGGGGAGUACGGUCGCAAGGCUGAAACUCAAAGGAAUUGACGGGGGCCCGCACAAGCGGUGGAGCAUGUGGUUCAAUUCGACGCAACGCGAAGAACCUUACCUGGGCUCGAACGGCUCACGAUCGACGGUAGAAACACCGUUUUCCCGCAAGGGACGGGAGUCGAGGUGCUGCAUGGCUGUCGUCAGCUCGUGUCGUGAGAUGUUGGGUUAAGUCCCGCAACGAGCGCAACCCUCGUCCUGUGUUGCGACGCCCGUAAGGGCAGCACUCUCAGGAGACCGCCAGCGAUAAGUUGGAGGAAGGUGGGGAUGACGUCAAGUCAUCAUGGCCUUUAUGUCCAGGGCUACACACGUGCUACAAUGGGCGGUACAAAGCGCUGCAAACCCGCGAGGGGAAGCCAAUCGCAAAAAGCCGGUCUCAGUUCGGAUUGCAGGCUGCAACUCGCCUGCAUGAAGCUGGAAUCGCUAGUAAUGCUAUAUCAGAACGAUAGCGUGAAUACGUUCCCGGGCCUUGUACACACC
rnacentral:rRNA from 1 species